AUACAUGAAGAUGGGAUGCUGAGGGCAUAUCUCAAAAUUGUGCUUGAGUCUGUUAAUAAAUCACCAGAAAUUCUUAAAACUUAGGGUCUUUCCAUGCAUAAUCAAAAUGAAACUGAGGAAUCUACUGUAGGAUGUGCAAUAAAUAGGUUACAACAAAGAUUAAAAUUUGAAGUGAAAAAUUUUAACUUCGAAGAUCAAGAAUAUUAUAAGUGUAUGUACCGAAGAAUUAACGAUGUUCAUGAAUAGC
rnacentral:lncRNA from 1 species